ensembl:lncRNA novel transcript, antisense to MTA1
CGAUCCUAACAUUCCAGGUGUAAGUUACAGAGCUCAAGUUCAUCUACAAAAAAAGUAAUAAAAAUAAAAUUUAAAAUGGCACCUUCAACAGAACACAACAAAACCUUAGGGCCCGGCCUCCGGGCAAAAGGCCCCGCAGCACAGGGGCACGGGGUGGCCCCUCAUCUCCGCUCCAGCCAAAAAGUAAACACAAAGCUAAAAACGACAACUCCUCGGCAUUCUCGGAAUAAGUUAGCCGCGCUUCUUCCUCUCCUCCCCCAGUGUCCGCCAAGGAGCGCGUUUCUCUGCAGGUGAGGGCGGGAGGUGUGGAAAAUUCAGUGGGAACAAAUAAGCUUUUAUGUAACUUGCUGGUUAACCGCUUUUUACAAAACAAAACAAAAAGCUCGAAGAUGCCUGCUGACAAGGACUCCCUCCUGUUUCUACCAGCUCUUAUGGGGCUGUUCCU